AUUGAACGCUGGCGGCAGGCCUAACACAUGCAAGUCGAGCGGUAGAGAGAAGCUUGCUUCUCUUGAGAGCGGCGGACGGGUGAGUAAUGCCUAGGAAUCUGCCUGGUAGUGGGGGAUAACGUUCGGAAACGGACGCUAAUACCGCAUACGUCCUACGGGAGAAAGCAGGGGACCUUCGGGCCUUGCGCUAUCAGAUGAGCCUAGGUCGGAUUAGCUAGUUGGUGAGGUAAUGGCUCACCAAGGCGACGAUCCGUAACUGGUCUGAGAGGAUGAUCAGUCACACUGGAACUGAGACACGGUCCAGACUCCUACGGGAGGCAGCAGUGGGGAAUAUUGGACAAUGGGCGAAAGCCUGAUCCAGCCAUGCCGCGUGUGUGAAGAAGGUCUUCGGAUUGUAAAGCACUUUAAGUUGGGAGGAAGGGUUGUAGAUUAAUACUCUGCAAUUUUGACAUUACCAACAGAAUAAGCACCGGCUAACUCUGUGCCAGCAGCCGCAGUAA
rnacentral:rRNA from 1 species